rnacentral:rRNA from 1 species
AUUGAACGCUGGCGGCAGGCCUAACACAUGCAAGUCGAACGAGUGGCGGACGGGUGAGUAAUGUCUGGGAAACUGCCCGAUGGAGGGGGAUAACUACUUGAAACGGUAGCUAAUACCGCAUACCAUCGGAUGUGCCCAGAUGGGAUUAGCUUGUUGGUGGGGUAAUGGCUCACCUAGGCGACGAUCCCUAGCUGGGCUGCGAGGAUGACCAGCCACACUGGAACUGAGACACGGUCCAGACUCCUACGGGAGGAAGCAGUGGGGAAUAUUGCACAAUGGGCGCAAGCCUGAUGCAGCCAUGCCGCGUGUAUGAAGAAGGCCUUCGGGUUGUAAAGUACUUUCAGCGAGGAGGCGUUACUCGCAGAAGAAGCACCGGCUAACUCCGUGCCAGCAGCCGCGGUAAGAC